UACGUAGGGGGCAAGCGUUGUCCGGAAUUAUUGGGCGUAAAGCGCGCGCAGGCGGUCCUUUAAGUCUGAUGUGAAAGCCCACGGCUCAACCGUGGAGGGUCAUUGGAAACUGGGGGACUUGAGUACAGGAGAGAAAAGUGGAAUUCCACGUGUAGCGGUGAAAUGCGUAGAGAUGUGGAGGAACACCAGUAGCGAAGGCGACUUUUUGGCCUGUAACUGACGCUGAGGCGCGAAAGCGUGGGGAGCAAACAGG
rnacentral:rRNA from 1 species